GAGUGGCGACGGCGCGUCAAACUUACCGCGUUUUUCUCUUUGUCGUUUGUGGCCAACCCGUCUCGCUUCCUCGCAGACUGGCUGGCGUGCGCACGCAUACGAACGCUACUCUCUUGUCAUCCAACACCGUAGUUCACUGCACCCUCCUUCUCUCCACUCUGCACAAAACCAGAAUCAGCACGCUGCUCCAACAACCAUGUCUGAUGAAGCUGCUACGCCGUACCCAAGAAAGUCAGCCUUCGCGUUCCGGCGACGACGGCAAACAUCGGCCCCGCCUACGACACCCUCGGCAUGGCGCUCUCCAUCUUCAUGGAGCUGACGGUAGAGUUGGCGGAAACCUUCUCCAUGACCGUGACCGGCGAGGGCCAAGAGUACAUCAGCACCGGCGAGGACAAUAUGGUGGUGCAGACCUGUCGAAUCGCGUUCGAGGAGUACGCGCACAAGAGCAUGCCACCACUGAAGUUCACCAUGCACAACAACAUACCGUACAAGUGCGGCUGCGGCUCGUCCUCGGCGGCGGCGGUGGCGGGGUUCGUGGCGGGCAUGACGCUCUCCGGCCUUACAAUGGAGACGCAUAACAACGAGUCGCUGCUCUCCGCCAUCUCGAAGAUCGAGGGUCACUCCGACAACGCUGCCUCGGCUAUCUACGGAGGCAUCCAGCUCGUCUACAAGAAGGACGAUGACAGGGCCAUGACCUACCACGUGCCCACCCCGCCGAACCUUUCCAUCGUGCUAUUCGUGCCGCAUAAGCUCAUGAAGGCCAGCACCCACGUCACCCGUGACUUAGUACCGACGACAGUGUCGCUCCGCGAUGCCGUUCGCAAUAUCUCCGGCACAGCAAUUUUGACUCUGGCCCUCUCGACCGGCGACCUGCGGAUGCUCACGGACGCAAGCGACUGCCUUCACGAGCAGCAACGCUCUCGCAAGCUGUAUCCGCACUACAGCGCGUGCGCGAAGGCCGCGCGCGAGGCCGGUGCCGUGUACGCUUUUCUGUCCGGCGCGGGCCCGAGCGUGUGCGCCAUGGUUCCUGGUCGCCACGGUGAUCUUCUCACCCAGCCGAUGGAAGAACGCAAGGCCGAGGUAGUGGCGGAGGCAAUGGUGAAGGCGGCGGAGGCCGUUGGCGUGCAGGGGCGGGUGAUCAUCACGAUGCCGUCUGACUUCGGUGUGCACCUCUCUGGCACUACCUGUAUCCGUCCGAACAUUCAGUACACCAGCAUCUGAGAAACAACGAGGUAAUUAGACUUGAUGGACAGCAGACAGUAGGCGGUGAUGGAUGGGUGCCAAUGAUCUCUCCAGGAGAUGACGGUUGCACGUAGCGCGGGACGGCGAUCCUCUCUUCCCACAAGACAUCGGCACAGGUGCACAUGGUGUGAGUGUGUGUGUGCGGAGCAGUCCUUCUUCCCUUCUCGCCUCUGUUUCUCUCGCCGCUUCUUCCUCAGUGCUUUGUGUGCCUCCCUCGCUCCUUGAUGACGGGAGGCACGCCGCAACGCGUGGCAUCCUCAUGGCCCCGGGCCGCCCCUCCCCCUAUCCCCCUAUCCCUCCUGCCAGUGCCGAGCCGCCUCGGGUGGUGACAGGGGCACCUACGGCGUGGGAAAGUCAGAGCGAUGCAUGGCUGCUGAUGCCGGUGCUCAGGUCGUAGAUGGCGUUGCGUCGGAGCGACCUGCGGCAGCGAGCGCGUUUGCACCACCCACAUGAUGGGCAGGGUGUCAGCGUGACCCAAGCGUGUCUCGCCCGGCCCUCGCUGCUUACUGGGGGAGAGCUUGGAGCGCCACCCCGAGGGAGAUGCACCGGCGGGGCGGCCGGCAUGAUGGGAGCGGCUGUGAGGUAACCUGCGAGGCAGAGGUGGGUAGAGUACGAGGCAGGGCCCGUGCGCAGGUGGCCGAGCCGGUGCGCUGCCGUAAUGCACGUGCCGGCCGCUGCGUUGCACCGGGCGACGGGGCCUGUGACGUGCCCGGGGGUGGGGGACGAGCAGGGUGAAGUCGAGUUGAUGCUGCAAGGCAAAAGAUGCACUUGUUAGGAAUAUGUUUUUUUCUUCUAUCGUCUUCAGGGUCGCACACCGUCGGAAUAUUUAACGGAGACGUUCAUGUGUGUGUCGGUCAGCAUUCGCGUGCGUCAGCGGUCAUGGCGGGGAGAGGAAGAGAGGAGGUCUCUCUGAGGAGGGAUAGGGGGAAGCUCACAAACUGGCGUCCAUCGACAUGUCCCUCUUGCGCGUAGGGGUGCGCAUUGCGAGCUCAGCGCCAUCCCUGAUCCCACUGCUGUGUAUCUUCCAUCACGCGGGGCAUUCGGCUUUUAACGCCUAGGCCGACGGAAAACCUCGCAUGUGCUUGGUCUUAUUUUUCUUUUUUUUCGGCUUCGACUGAAGCUGCCAUGUUUUCUGUCGCUGAAGCGCGCCCGACCCCUUCCCUUUUCUUGCCCUCCUCCGCAUCGAUGCGCUGUCUGGUUUCCUCUGUGUUCCAUCUAUUAACUCAGCCUCUGCGUGUGUGUAUGUGUUUGCGUGCUUACGGAGGCCAUCGCAUGUCUUGUUGUAGCCUUGAACGCUAAGGAGCGUUCGCCC
rnacentral:misc_RNA from 1 species